rnacentral:rRNA from 1 species
UACGGAGGGUGCGACCGUUAAUCGGAAUCACUGGGCGUAAAGCGCGCGUAGGCGGUCCGUUAAGUGGGAUGUGAAAUCCCCGGGCUUAACCUGGGAAUUGCAUUUCAAACUGGCGGACUAGAGUGCGGUAGAGGGAGGUAGAAUUUCCUGUGUAGCGGUGAAAUGCGUAGAUAUAGGAAGGAAUGCCAGUGGCGAAGGCGGCCUCCUGGAUCGACACUGACGCUGAGGCGCGAAAGCGUGGGGAGCAAACAGG